GGUGUGGUGGCAAGGACGGGAAGAUCAUUCUUGUCAAGUGCCCGUGUCAUAAAAGUAUUUGGGGUUUUGGAGAGUGGUCAAUCAAGUACCAAAUAUUGUUGUUGGGCAAGUCAGCUGGUAUUUUUCUCUCUUAGGAGUUUUGUUAAGAUGUAUGAUCCAUUGAAUCCAUUGAUUAUGAUUUAUUUGAUUGGGCUUCUGUGUGUUUUGAUGUUUUCUUAGGCUUGGUUUUGUGUUUGAUUUCUGGAAAUUGGGAAAAGCAAAGAAGAGAAAGAUCAAGGAUGAUUUUCAUUUCUUUUAUGUAUUCAGUGAAUAAUUUCUUGAAUUUGACAUUAGCAUGGUCGCUAAUUAUUUGGUGUUUGUUUGUUAAGGAAAGUUUGAAAAGUUGGGAUCUCCAUGGGAAGUUAGGCUAUAUGUAUUACUUGUUAGUAAUUAUAUGUUCAAUAUUAGAAUGCUACUAAUGAAUGUAGUUCAUCCACCUUUUCGAAA